rnacentral:rRNA from 1 species
GGAAGGAUCAUUAUUGAAAUAAACCUGAUGGGUUGCUGCUGGUUCUCUAGGGAGCAUGUGCACACUUGUCAUCUUUAUAUCUCCACCUGUGCACCUUUUGUAGACCUGGAUAUCUUUCUGAAUGCCUAGCAUUUGGGUUUGAGGAUUGACUUUACCGUCUUUCCUUACAUUUUCAGGCCUAUGUUUUUUCAUAUACCCCAAUGUAUGUUAUAGAAUGUAAUAAACGGGCCUUUGUGCCUAUAAACCUAUACAACUUUCAGCAACGGAUCUCUUGGCUCUCGCAUCGAUGAAGAACGCAGCGAAAUGCGAUAAGUAAUGUGAAUUGCAGAAUUCAGUGAAUCAUCGAAUCUUUGAACGCACCUUGCGCUCCUUGGUAUUCCGAGGAGCAUGCCUGUUUGAGUGUCAUUAAUAUAUCAACCUCUUUAGCUUUUGCUUGUUGAGUGUUGGAUGUGGGGGUACGUUUUGCUGGCCUCUCUUUCUGAGGUCUGCUCCCCUGAAAUGCAUUAGCGGAACAAUUUGUUGACCGUUCAUUGGUGUGAUAACUAUCUACGCUAUUGACGUGAAGCAUUCCGCUUCUAAUAGUCCAUUGACUUGGACAAUUUUUCAUUAAUGUGACCUCAAAUCAGGUAGGACUACCCGCUGAACUUAAGCAUAUCAAUAAGCGGAGGAAAAGAAACUAACAAGGAUUCCCCUAGUAACUGCGAGUGAAGCGGGAAAAGCUCAAAUUUAAAAUCUGAUAGUCUUUGGCUGUCCGAGUUGUAAUCUAGAGAAGUGUUAUCCGCGCUGGACCGUGUACAAGUCUCCUGGAAUGGAGCGUCAUAGAGGGUGAGAAUCCCGUCUUUGACACGGACUGCCAGGGCUUUGUGAUGCGCUCUCAAAGAGUCGAGUUGUUUGGGAAUGCAGCUCAAAAUGGGUGGUAAAUUCCAUCUAAAGCUAAAUAUUGGC